GGCUGGUCCAAUGGUAGUGGGUUAUCAGAACUUAUUAACAUUAGUGUCACUAAAGUUGGUAUACAAGCCCCCACUGCUAAAUUUGACUGGUUUUUA
rfam:Callithrix jacchus chromosome 16, whole genome shotgun sequence